AUGCUCUCCUUGUCUCUUUGCUCCCAUCUCUGGGGGCCUCUGAUUCUUUCUGCUCUACAGGCACGCAGCACUGACAGCCUGGAUGGCCCAGGGGAGGGCUCGGUGCAGCCUCUACCCACUGCUGGGGGGCCCAGUGUGAAGGGGAAGCCUGGGAAGAGGCUCUCAGCUCCUCGAGGCCCCUUCCCACGGCUGGCUGACUGCGCCCAUUUCCACUACGAGAACGUUGACUUUGGCCACAUUCAGCUCCUGCUGUCUCCAGACCGUGAAGGGCCCAGCCUCUCUGGAGAGAAUGAGCUGGUGUUCGGGGUGCAGGUGACCUGUCAGGGCCGUUCCUGGCCGGUUCUCCGGAGUUACGAUGACUUUCGUUCCCUGGAUGCCCACCUCCACCGAUGCAUAUUUGACCGGAGGUUCUCCUGCCUUCCGGAGCUUCCCCCGCCCCCCGAGGGUGCCAGGGCUGCCCAGAUGCUGGUGCCACUGCUGCUGCAGUACCUGGAGACACUGUCAGGACUGGUGGACAGUAACCUCAACUGCGGGCCUGUGCUCACCUGGAUGGAGGUGGGCCUGGGCAGGGGGCUUGGAGGUUCAGAGUGGGUGAGGGGGUGCGUGUGCCACCACGCCCAGCACAGAGAGAUUUUAGAUGGCAACCGUGUGGCAUCUGCUGCGGAGGAUGAAGGUGCAGAGGUGGAUGGGGAAGCCUUCAGGUGGGAGAGUCCUGGGACAUGUGA
rnacentral:sRNA from 1 species